AGAACGAACGCUGGCGGCAUGCCUAACACAUGCAAGUCGAACGAACCUUUCGGGGUUAGUGGCGCACGGGUGCGUAACGCGUGGGAAUCUGCCCUUUGGUACGGAAUAACUCACCGAAAGGUGUGCUAAUACCGUAUGAUGUCUUCGGACCAAAGAUUUAUCGCCAAAAGGAUGAGCCCGCGUUGGAUUAGCUAGUUGGUGGGGUAAAGGCCUACCAAGGCGACGAUCCAUAGCUGGUCUGAGAGGAUGAUCAGCCACACUGGGACUGAGACACGGCCCAGACUCCUACGGGAGGCAGCAGUGGGGAAUAUUGGACAAUGGGCGCAAGCCUGAUCCAGCAAUGCCGCGUGAGUGAUGAAGGCCUUAGGGUUGUAAAGCUCUUUUACCCGGGAAGAUAAUGACUGUACCGGGAGAAUAAGCCCCGGCUAACUCCGCGCCAGCAGCCGC
rnacentral:rRNA from 1 species